UCAGAUCGAUAUCGUUUCCUAUGGUAAAGAGAAGCCUGCAGUACUGGGUCACGAUGAAGCGGCAUACGCGAAAAACCGUCGUGCCGUACUGGUCUAUUAAUUCUGUUACCUAGACGAGUAGCGAAUGAGCAGUAACUUCAGGCGUCAUAUGAUG
rnacentral:sRNA from 1 species